rnacentral:rRNA from 1 species
UACGUAGGGUGCGAGCGUUGUCCGGAAUUAUUGGGCGUAAAGGGCUCGUAGGCGGUCUGUUGCGUCGGGAGUGAAAACUCAGGGCUUAACCCUGAGCCUGCUUCCGAUACGGGCAGACUAGAGGUAUGCAGGGGAGAACGGAAUUCCUGGUGUAGCGGUGAAAUGCGCAGAUAUCAGGAGGAACACCGGUGGCGAAGGCGGUUCUCUGGGCAUUACCUGACACUGAGGAGCGAAAGUGUGGGGAGCGAACAGG